rnacentral:rRNA from 1 species
UGGCUCAGAUUGAACGCUGGCGGCAGGCCUAACACAUGCAAGUCGAGCGGUAGCACAAGAGAGCUUGCUCUCUGGGUGACGAGCGGCGGACGGGUGAGUAAUGUCUGGGAAACUGCCUGAUGGAGGGGGAUAACUACUGGAAACGGUAGCUAAUACCGCAUGACGUCUUCGGACCAAAGUGGGGGACCUUCGGGCCUCACGCCAUCAGAUGUGCCCAGAUGGGAUUAGCUAGUAGGUGGGGUAAUGGCUCACCUAGGCGACGAUCUCUAGCUGGUCUGAGAGGAUGACCAGCCACACUGGAACUGAGACACGGUCCAGACUCCUACGGGAGGCAGCAGUGGGGAAUAUUGCACAAUGGGCGCAAGCCUGAUGCAGCCAUGCCGCGUGUAUGAAGAAGGCCUUCGGGUUGUAAAGUACUUUCAGCGAGGAGGAAGGCAUUAAGGUUAAUAACCUUAGUGAUUGACGUUACUCGCAGAAGAAGCACCGGCUAACUCCGUGCCAGCAGCCGCGGU